rnacentral:rRNA from 1 species
AGCGAACGCUGGCGGCAGGCCUAACACAUGCAAGUCGAACGAACUCUUCGGAGUUAGUGGCGGACGGGUGAGUAACACGUGGGAACGUGCCUUUAGGUUCGGAAUAACUCAGGGAAACUUGUGCUAAUACCGAAUGUGCCCUUCGGGGGAAAGAUUUAUCGCCUUUAGAGCGGCCCGCGUCUGAUUAGCUAGUUGGUGAGGUAAAGGCUCACCAAGGCGACGAUCACUAGCUGGUCUGAGAGGAUGAUCAGCCACAUUGGGACUGAGACACGCCCCAAACUCCUACGGGAAGCAGCAGUGGGGAAUCUUGCGCAAUGGGCGAAAGCCUGACGCAGCCAUGCCGCGUGAAUGAUGAAGGUCUUAGGAUUGUAAAAUUCUUUCACCGGGGACGAUAAUGACGGUACCCGGAGAAGAAGCCCCGGCUAACUUCGUG